AUGAAGCACCUAUGUUGGAACAUUAGGGGCUUCGGUCUCACUAGCAGGCGGAGGCAGCUCAUCGAGUAUUUGCGGCAAGAGGAGAUUGACAUCGUGGGUCUUCAGGAGACGAUACGCCAGGACUUCAGUAUGCUUGAGCUCCAGGGGCUCUCUCGCCACCAGUUUGCCUGGCAGUGGCUGCCUGCUAUGGGCCAAUCUGGUGGCAUUUUGCUCGGGGUUAGGGAGGAUGUCUUCUCGGUUGAGGAUAUGGACUCAGGGGAAUUCUUCCUGAGCAUGUCUGUCACCGACCGACGAGUCCACCUUAGUUGGGAGGUGAUUUUUGUCUAUGGCCCUGCAGACCAUGGACACUCCGCCGCCUUCCUUUUUUAG
rnacentral:rRNA from 1 species